rnacentral:rRNA from 1 species
GGACAAUGGGCGAAAGCCUGAUCCAGCAAUGCCGCGUGUGUGAAGAAGGCCUGCGGGUUGUAAAGCACUUUCGGCCGGGAGGAAAAGCUAUGGAUUAAUACUCCAUAGUGUUGACGUUACCGGCAUAAGAAGCACCGGCUAACUCCGUGCCAGCAGCCGCGGUAAUA